rnacentral:snoRNA from 1 species
AUACAGUGAUGAUCACAUAGUUCAGCUUAUGGAACAGUGAUGAACUGUCUUUCGCUCCUAUCUGAUGUAUCU